CCUACGGGGGGCUGCAGUGGGGAAUAUUGGGCAAUGGGCGCAAGCCUGACCCAGCAACGCCGCGUGAAGGAAGAAGGCUUUCGGGUUGUAAACUUCUUUUCUCAGGGACGAAGAAAGUGACGGUACCUGAGGAAUAAGCCACGGCUAACUACGUGCCAGCGCCCGCGGUAAUACGGAGGGGGCAAGCGUUAUCCGGAUUUAUGGGGUGUAAGGGGGGUGUAGGCGGAAGCGCAAGUCAGAUGUGAAAACUCAGGGCUCAACCCUGAGCCUGCAUUGGAAACUGUGUUUCUUGAGUGCUGGAGAGGCAAUCGGAAUUCCGGGUGUAGCGGUGAAAUGCGUAGAUAUACGGAGGAACACCAGUGGCGAAGGCGGAUUGCUGGACAGUAACUGACGCUGAGGCGCGAAAGCGUGGGGAGCAAACAGGAUUAGAUACCCUAGUAGUC
rnacentral:rRNA from 1 species